GCUGAUGUGCUGACGCUGCCUGGUUUAUUGCCGCUGUGUCGGGCUCUUCCUGGCCGAGGCACCUGUCUGACCAGCGGCCUGCAGCACCUACUGGGGCAUGAGAUCAUCACCACCCCCCUCAUGGAGGAGCCACACCACAACAGUAAAUAUAAAAAGCGAGCUGGAGGCACGCAUGUGCACAGUGCUCAGAGUGAUGGUAGCUACAGACAGAGAGGGGCCUCCAGCUUCCACACCACAGGACUACAGCCCAGCAGACACAGAGUGUACACAGCCUACACCAAUACUGACCCAGAGACCAGAUGUCCGAGUCACAGUGGACCCAAACCUCCCCCUAUGUAAUAGAUGCUGAGGAAUGUUACUGUGGUCUGGGACAAAGAUGUUCUGUGAAGCUGUGGUCUGGAGGUGUAACUGAGAUGUGGGGUGGAACUGUGAUUUGGG
ensembl:lncRNA